UACAGAGGGGCAAGGCGUUAUUCGGAAUUAUUGGGCGUAAAGGGCGCGUAGGCGGCUUGGCAAGUGGAAGGUGAAAUCCCUCGGCUUAACCGAGGAACUGCCCUCCAAACUGCUUCGCUUGAGACCGGGAGAGGUGAGUGGAAUUCCCAGUGUAGCGGUGAAAUGCGUAGAUAUUGGGAGGAACACCAGUGGCGAAGGCGGCUCACUGGACCGGUACUGACGCUGAUGCGCGAAAGCGUGGGGAGCAAACGGGG
rnacentral:rRNA from 1 species